rnacentral:misc_RNA from 1 species
CACAUCACAUUUCGGGUGAUAAUGCUCCUUGUAGCAUGUUUUGUGAUAGGGAUAGUUCCCAGACAUUGAGAACUCAUAAUCAGAUAUUGGCUGGUUACAGGCAUGGCAUCUAAAGCACUCUGGAUGCCAUACCGCUCCCAUGCAACUCAAAAAUCGUCCAUGACCUAUUUCAGUGCUGCAACCUGCACAUACCCUAAAGCUUGCAGAAUAUGGG